rnacentral:rRNA from 1 species
AAUGUACACACCGCCCGUCGCUUUUACCGAUUGAGUGUUCAGGUGAGCCUUCUUGAUAGUGUCAAAGCUAAAAAUUGAACAAACCUUAGCACUUAGAGGAAAAAGAAGUCGUAACAAGGUUUCCGUAGGUGAACCUGCG